GAUGAACGCUAGCGGCAGGCUUAAUACAUGCAAGUCGUGGGGCAGCAGGUCUGUAGCAAUACAGAUGCUGGCGACCGGCAAACGGGUGCGGAACACGUACACAACUUUCCUUUAAGUGGGGAAUAGCCCAGAGAACUUUGGAUUAAUACCCCGUAACAUAGUGAAAAGGCAUCUUUUUAUUAUUAUAGCAGCAAUGCGCUUAAUGAUGGGUGUGCGUCUGAUUAGGUAGUUGGCGGAGUAAUAGCCCACCAAGCCUACGAUCAGUAACUGGUGUGAGAGCACGACCAGUCACACGGGCACUGAGACACGGGCCCGACUCCUACGGGAGGCAGCAGUAAGGAAUAUUGGGCAAUGGACGCAAGUCUGACCCAGCCAUGCCGCGUGGAGGAUGAAGGUCCUCUGGAUUGUAAACUUCUUUUAUCUGGGAAGAAAUCCAUCUUUUCUUGGGUGGUUGAUGGUACCAGAUGAAUAAGCACCGGCUAACUCCGUGCCAGCCGCCGCAGUAA
rnacentral:rRNA from 1 species